rnacentral:rRNA from 1 species
AUUGAACGCUGGCGGCAUGCCUUACACAUGCAAGUCGAACGGCAGCACGGGUGCUUGCACCUGGUGGCGAGUGGCGAACGGGUGAGUAAUACAUCGGAACGUACCUUAUCGUGGGGGAUAACGCAGCGAAAGCUGUGCUAAUACCGCAUACGCCCUGAGGGGGAAAGCGGGGGAUCGCAAGACCUCGCACGAUUAGAGCGGCCGAUGCCUGAUUAGCUUGUUGGUGGGGUAAAAGCCCACCAAGGCGACGAUCAGUAGCUGGUCUGAGAGGACGAUCAGCCACACUGGGACUGAGACACGGCCCAGACUCCUACGGGAGGCAGCAGUGGGGAAUUUUGGACAAUGGGGGGCAACCCUGAUCCAGCAAUGCCGCGUGAGUGAAGAAGGCCUUCGGGUUGUAAAGCUCUUUUGUCAGGGAAGAAACACCGGCUCUAACACAGUCCGGGAAUGACGGUACCUGAAGAAUAAGCACCGGCUAACUACGUGCCAGCAGCCGCCGUAA